rnacentral:rRNA from 1 species
CGCAUCUGUGCAUGCAGCAUAUCAAUAAGCGGAGGAAAAGAAACUAACAAGGAUUCCCCUAGUAACGGCGAGUGAAGCGGGAAGAGCUCAAAUUUGAAAUCUUAAAGGGUUUCCCUUUACGAAUUGUAGUUUAAAGAAGUGUUUUCUGUUGAGGUUUUGGUAAGAGUUCUUUGGAAUAGGACAUCAUAGAGGGUGAGAAUCCCGUAUUUGACCUUUACUUUCAACUUUGUGAUACACUUUCAAAGAGUCGGAUUGUUUGGGAAUGCAGUCCAAAAUGGGUGGUAAAUUUCAUCUAAAGCUAAAUAUUGGCGAGAGACCGAUAGCGAACAAGUACCGUGAGGGAAAGAUGAAAAGAACUUUGAAAAGAGAGUUAAACAGUACGUGAAAUUGUCAAAAGGGAAGCGUUUGACACCAGUGUUGUUUUUCUGAAAAUCAAUUAAAGAACUGUUUAUGCUAAGUUGUUUAGACUUUAUCAGCUAACUGUUUAGUUUUGAGCUUUUCUUUAAUGCACUUUUCAGUUAACAAGUCAACAUCAAUUUCUUUUGCUGUAAAAAAGCUUGAGGAAGGUGGCUUGAGAUUCGUCUUAAGUGUUUAUAGCCUCUUGCCUAUGCAGUCGGAGAGAUUGAGGUCUGCAGCGUAGAUCCUUCGGGGCUAAAUGCAUUUGUGCUAAGUUAUAGCAUUUUAUAGACAACUUGUUGACUAUGAUUUGUCUUGUAGCUUACUCGCUUAUGUUAUUUUACCUACGCUUAGGAUGUUGAACGCGCACAGAGUCUC